UACAGAGGUCCCAAGCGUUGUUCGGAUUCAUUGGGCGUAAAGGGUGCGUAGGUGGCGUCGUAAGUCGGGUGUGAAAUCUCGGGGCUUAACUCGGAAAGGUCAACUGAUACUGCUCGGCUAGAGUGCGGAAGGGGCAACUGGAAUUCUUGGUGUAGCGGUGAAAUGCGUAGAUAUCAAGAGGAACACCUGCGGCGAAGGCGGGUUGCUGGGCCGACACUGACGCUGAAGUGCGAAAGCUGGGGGAGCGAACGGG
rnacentral:rRNA from 1 species